CGGGUGAGUAACGCGUGGGUAACCUGCCUCAUACAGGGGGAUAACAGUUAGAAAUGGCUGCUAAUACCGCAUAAGCGCACGGUACUGCAUGGUACAGUGUGAAAAACUCCGGUGGUAUGAGAUGGACCCGCGUUGGAUUAGCUAGUUGGCAGGGUAACGGCCUACCAAGGCGACGAUCCAUAGCCGGCCUGAGAGGGUGGACGGCCACAUUGGGACUGAGACACGGCCCAG
rnacentral:rRNA from 1 species